UAAUGACAAAAUGUAUCAUUUGAAUACAUAUCUAAUUCAAUCAAUUUAAAUAUCACUUACAAAAUUUAAUCAUAUAUUUUUUAUAUAUUCCUAUAAAUAUUUCACCUAAUUUACAUGAAAUUGAACUAUGAAUCUUAUUUAUAUAUAAAUUAUUUUAUUUAAUAAAAAAUUAUAAGUGCAAUUUGUUAUACUAAAAAAAAUUGGGUAAACUUCAAAUACCAUCCAUUUGGUUUCGCACUUUCUCACCUUAGUACCCUGUGAUUUAAAAUGUAUUAAUUUGGUUCCUUAUGAUUUUAUUUUCUCUUUUUGUCAUCUCCUUCGUUAAUUUUUUGUUAAAUCACAUAGAAAAAACUUCAUAUACGCUUCCUAUAGUUUAUCAAAUAUUCACUUUAGUACACUUUAAUUUUAACUUUGUUAUUAAUUUAACGAAAAACAUUAGUAAAUUGGAUAACAAAAAGAAAAAAAUAAGACCACAUAGUAUGAAACUGAUACAUUUAAACUAUAGGAUGCUAAAGUGAGAAAGUGAGAAAUCACAGGGGUGGUAUUUGAAGUUUUUCUCAAAAAUUUUAAAUAGAACUUUUCUUAUUUAAUUUUGUAUUUUAUAUUUUUUUUGGGAAUAAAAUUUUUAUGUAUUUGUAGAAAGGAAUAGGGUGUUCCUGCGGAGUAUUUAAAAGGGUUUGUAGGAGAGUGUG
rnacentral:lncRNA from 1 species